rnacentral:tRNA from 1 species
GCCUGGGUUGCUCAGCUGGUAGAGCAUCAGAUUCUUAAUCUGUGGUUCAAGGCUUUAAGUUGCUUUUCAGGCA